rnacentral:rRNA from 1 species
GCCAGACUCCUACGGGAGGCAGCAGUGGGGAAUAUUGCACAAUGGGCGAAAGCCUGAUGCAGCAACGCCGCGUGAAGGAAGACGGUUUUCGGAUUGUAAACUUCUGUUCUUAGUGAAGAAUAAUGACGGUAACUAAGGAGCAAGCCACGGCUAACUACGUGCCAGCAGCCGCGGUAAUACGUAGGUGGCAAGCGUUGUCCGGAAUUACUGGGUGUAAAGGGCGUGUAGGCGGGAUGGUAAGUCAGAUGUGAAAUCUAUGGGCUCAACCCAUAGCCUGCAUUUGAAACUAUCGUUCUUGAGUGUUGGAGAGGCAGGCGGAAUUCCGUGUGUAGCGGUGAAAUGCGUAGAUAUACGGAGGAACACCAGUGGCGAAGGCGGCCUGCUGGACAAUAACUGACGCUGAGGCGCGAAAGCGUGGGGAGCAAACAGGAUUAGAUACCCCAGUA